GACAAAGGGAACACGUGCGUGGAAUGGUGCCGGCUCGGCGAAGGCGACGACCGACAGCGUCGCAACAGGGACGGACACCAAUGCCGAUACUGGAAAACGGAUGAACGCAACAAGUGGAUGCAGACCGGCACAUGCCGCAACGGAAGGUGCUCCUGAAGAAACGGCGCGUUGAAUAAACGACGAUUCGCUCCACCCGA